CUUUAGGUAGCUCAGUCGGAAGAGCAAGCAGAACACAUACUUCUCUCUGUUGACGCUGGUUCGAUUCCAGCCUGGGGGU